UGCCAGCCGCCGCGGUAAUACGGAGGGUGCAAGCGUUGCUCGGAAUCACUGGGCGUAAAGCGCACGCAGGCGGUUCAGCAAGUCGGAUGUGAAAUCCCAGGGCUCAACCCUGGAACUGCAUCCGAAACUGCUGGACUUGAGUACGAGAGAGGGUGGCGGAAUUCCCAGUGUAGAGGUGAAAUUCGUAGAUAUUCGGAGGAACACCAGUGGCGAAGGCGGCUUUCUGGACCGAUACUGACGCUGAGACGCGAAAGCGUGGGGAGCAAACAGGAUUAGAUA
rnacentral:rRNA from 1 species